GGCUUUUUGCGUAACAAACCAACGUUUACAGAACAGAUUCUCUUUUUUUUAUGAGGCAGGACAUGGCACAUCCACAUUGCUGCUUUAGGGCUUUCUCUCAGGCCAAUAGAAUGUCAUUCCAUCAGCAGAGGAGAGCAGAGCAGAGAGGCUGUCACAGGAAUAUAUGGCACUCUCUGGUGGCCACAGAGGAAGUGAAUCUGAAGUCCAGAGAACAGACCUUUAUGGCUUCAGAGCCAGACUGACAGGGUGGACACUAACCACAAGGUUGGGAGUUCAAUCCCCUGCUGAAUCAUACCAAAGGGUGUAAAAAUGGAACCCGAUGCGUCUCUGCUUGGCACUCCACAUCGAGGAGCUAGAUUGA